rnacentral:rRNA from 1 species
UACGGAGGGUGCAAGCGUUAAUCGGAAUUACUGGGCGUAAAGCGCACGUAGGUGGUUUGUUAAGCUAGCUGUGAAAUCCCCGGGCUCAACCUGGGCACUGCAGUUAGAACUGGCAAGCUAGAGUAGGGUAAAGGGGUGUGGAAUUCCAGGUGUAGCGGUGAAAUGCGUAGAUAUCUGGAGGAACAUCAGUGGCGAAGGCGACACCCUGGACUCAUACUGACACUGAGGUGCGAAAGCGUGGGGAGCAAACAGG